rnacentral:rRNA from 1 species
UACGAAGGGUGCAAGCGUUACUCGGAAUUACUGGGCGUAAAGGGUGCGUAGGUGGUUGUUUAAGUCUGUUGUGAAAGCCCCGGGCUCAACCUGGGAAUGGCAAUGGAUACUGGACAGCUAGAGUGCGGUAGAGGGUAGUGGAAUUCCCGGUGUAGUAGUGAAAUGCGUAGAGAUCGGGAGGAACACCAGUGGCGAAGGCGGCUACCUGGACCAGCACUGACACUGAAGCACGAAAGCGUGGGGAGCAAACAG